UCGGGGGCAAUGAUGCUGAAAACUACCUAUUUUCUGAGGGAAUAAAUUUCCCUAAUGAUUGUGAAAAGCCAAUGGAUCCUUUGAGCCCUCA